GACGAACGCUGGCGGCGUGCCUAAUACAUGCAAGUAGAACGCUGAAGGAGGAGCUUGCUUCUCUGGAUGAGUUGCGAACGGGUGAGUAACGCGUAGGUAACCUGCCUGGUAGCGGGGGAUAACUAUUGGAAACGAUAGCUAAUACCGCAUAAUAGCAGUUGUUGCAUGACAGCUGUUUGAAAGGUGCAAUUGCACCACUACCAGAUGGACCUGCGUUGUAUUAGCUAGUUGGUGGGGUAACGGCUCACCAAGGCGACGAUACAUAGCCGACCUGAGAGGGUGAUCGGCCACACUGGGACUGAGACACGGCCCAGACUCCUACGGGAGGCAGCAGUAGGGAAUCUUCGGCAAUGGACGGAAGUCUGACCGAGCAACACCGCGUGAGUGAAGAAGGUUUUCGGAUCGUAAAGCUCUGUUGUAAGAGAAGAACGAGUGUGAGAGUGGAAAGUUCACACUGUGACGUAUCUACCA
rnacentral:rRNA from 1 species